GUAAUUAAAAGCUGACAAACGUUCUCUUUAAGUUUUAGGAGAUAAGUAAGAGCAAUUACCUAUGAAAAUUGGGGAUAAAAUUUUUCAUGAGCUAAAAUUUUCGUUACUUUUGUUCACAAAUCAAGUAGAUAAAUAUUAAACGUUCGAUGAAAUUCAGUACUAUUAUAUCCCUUACAUAAGAAGAUGAUAUUUGAUUCUAUUUGGGAAGAAUUUAUAAAGCGAUAUUUGAUAAGCGAGUUUCUAAAAAUAUGAGUGUUAAAUUUAGAAACUCAUUGAAGAAUUGUUUACAUACUCAAGCUAGCUAAGUGCACACUCAUUCUAGAAUCUCAAGAUUGCAUGGCUAAUUCUUGAUAUUUGUGAGACAACGAAGAAAAAGAGAGUAGAAGGUAUUAUUUGAUUUUUUUUUAAAAAAAAAAAUGAGCAAAUUAACAAUUACAAAAAACAAAAACAAAAAAAAAGAACAAAACAAAAAAAAAAAAGAAAAAGAAAAGAAAGAAAAGAGACUACAAAAAGAGAGGCAGAGUACUCCCAACAAACAUUUAAAAAACAAUUAUUACAGUGCAAGAAAAUAAAACUACAAAUAAAACGAGAAGUUAUUCUAAACAGAUCUGGCCUCAUAGUUUCUUAACCAAAAGAUAAUUGUCUUGACGAUAAUAUAUAAUGCAUACCUAAUAUUGGAUUGCUGGACAAAGAGUGUAGUGAGGAUGAUUGUGAUGAGGCGUCAAUGAAGUUCAUCUAACCCUAUAUAUAGAUUAGAUGGGGUGAAAGAUAAUCUAUAAGAAAUGCUCUAAUAAAGAAAAAGAGAUUCUUCUCUUUUCCCACCUUCUCUUAAGUCACCCAGAUAUGAAAUAAUGAAAUUUAAUUAUAAUACACGAUGUAGUAAAGUAAAAUUAUACUAUGACCUAAAAAAUUUUGUGGUAAUUAAUUAAAAUUUAGCAAGAAACCACAACCACGAGCAGAAUGGUUUUCAUGAAAAAGUGGUAAAGCAGUAUAUGCAUGUGCACAGAUACAUAUAUAAAUACUCAAAGAGAAAGCCAUAAGAAUGAUGUUCUCACCAGCAGAAGAUUAAUCUAUUGACAGAAGAAAAGAGAGCACAAAACAAGAUCAUACACAAGCCUUCCUGUGUAUGCUCAAUUGUGCUCUCUAUCUUCUGUCAACAAAAAUAUAUAUCAGCAUCAUGGAUCAUGAAUGAAAGCCAACCCUUGAUCAGCAGAAGAGUCACCAAUUAAACCUUGUUUGUGAACCGCGAACAGGGAAAAGAAAAGAAAUUUCAUCUGCAUCAACAGCAGCCAUGCAAAUCGAGAGUGAUUGGAGGGAAUCAAAGAUAGAGAGAAGUAGUAGUACUAAGACUCCUCUUGUUUGUCAGCCCAGAAAGAAAGUUGAGCCUUUUCUUGACUUUGAAGAACAUGGAAUUAAGUGAGAGGCUGCCUUCUCUUGCAGUUGCAGAUAAGAGAGGGAAAAGGUCUUUCUGAAUAGCAAGUGUCUCAUUAAGUAUGGCUUUGAUAUCACCAUCACUUUGAUCAAUUAAUAAAAACUAACCACCUUUCUUCUUUAUCUUUCAUCUUUCAUUUUCGUUGGAGAUGACUUUUAGAAAGGUGGUGACCAACAUGCUUUUUCUGGAUUGUCUUUGGGCUACAAAGCCCAAAUCAAGGCUGCUUACCAGGGAUUUUGGAAACUCCAUAUAGGCCAAGAGAGCCACGACACCCCUUUGUUUUCAAUUUUUCUUUUAACAAGUUUUUUUAUAUAUAUAUAUAUAUAUAUAUAUGGUAGAGAGCCUGUUGUAGCCCACAACUGUCCCUACAAGAUUAGGCAUGGGCAUGUGCUAUGUUGAGUAAGUCUCACCAAAAUUUCAUUCAAAUUAGGUUAGAAGAAUUUUUUCAAAUUUAGCUUAUAAUAAUGUGACGUGUAUUUUGAGUAUGUGAAAAAAUAUAUAUUUUUUUAAUAUUUUUAUUUAAAAUGCUAGUGUUUCUCACGUAGUUAAAAGAAAAAAAAAAGAAGAUGAUUGUCAUAAAAGAUAAAUGUCAAAUUUAUGAAGAUAAAUGACAAAUUUCUGAAUAAAGUUAAAAAAAAAUUCCUCAAUCGUGGAAAUUUCUGUCCGACAAGGACAAAAAUUUGUGUCUGACAAUUAAUAUCCUUGGAUCUGGAACUUUCGAAAGACAAAAACGAAACUGCGUACAUAUAGACAACAACUUUGCAUAAGAUAAGAAUAUAAAACUUUCAUAGCUUUUAACUUAAUUCCUCUUCCAGUAAUG
rnacentral:precursor_RNA from 1 species